CGCUUUCACUCCUACGGGAGGCAGCAGUGGGGAAUAUUGCACAAUGGGCGCAAGCCUGAUGCAGCCAUGCCGCGUGUAUGAAGAAGGCCUUCGGGUUGUAAAGUACUUUCAGCAGUGAGGAAGGUGGUAGUGUUAAUAGCACUAUCAUUUGACGUUAGCUGCAGAAGAAGCACCGGCUAACUCCGUGCCAGCAGCCGCGGUAAUACGGAGGGUGCGAGCGUUAAUCGGAAUUACUGGGCGUAAAGCGCAUGCAGGUGGUUUGUUAAGUCAGAUGUGAAAGCCCGGGGCUCAACCUCGGAAUUGCAUUUGAAACUGGCAGACUAGAGUACUGUAGAGGGGGUAGAAUUUCAGGUGUAGCGGUGAAAUGCGUAGAGAUCUGAAGGAAUACCAGUGGCGAAGGCGGCCCCCCUGGACAGAUACUGACACUCAGAUGCGAAAGCGUGGGGAGCAAACAGGAUUAGAUACCCUGGUAG
rnacentral:rRNA from 1 species